rnacentral:lncRNA from 1 species
AUGGUGCAAUCUCAGCUCACUGCAACCUCUGCCUUCUGGGUUCAAGUGAUUCUCGUGCCUCAGACUCCCAAGUAGCUAGGAUUACAGGAAAAAGUUGUUUCAAGAAAGAAAUGAGUUAGGAUCUAUGAUGAUGAUGAUGAUGAUGAUGAUGAUGAUGAUGAUGACAAUGAUGAUCUAAGUUUCUGUGAGUCUAGAUUAAUGGCACAAACUCCAAGAUCUAUCGAGUAAUUAUUUAUAUUGCUCCUGCCUAGGUCAUCUGAAUAUCCAGGCACAACCCAGGCAUACUAGACCUUGAUCACACUGGAAGUGCGUGACCAUGGGGAUGUGGUGUGUAAAGCAAGAAAACAUAGGGACAGAAAUACAACACUGGAGAGAUCACUUGAUGUCAUUUCUGAUGGCUUUUAUCCAUCCUGCCCAAAUAAAAUAAACAAAUUACCCUGCUACUUUAC